CUCCUCGGUCGGCAGUCAUCAUGAAGCGGAAUUAUGCUUCAGGAAGACAGAAAAGGAAGAAGAGAAAGGAAGAGGAGGAUAAGAAAAAACAAGAUAGUGGUGUUUUGCUUAAAUUUCUCAGCCCUCAGGCUCUUCCUAAGGAUACCUCCACUGAUGAAGCAUCAACUUCAUCCUCAACAUCGACAGAUGCAUCACUUCUCAGUGCUGAUGUUUCCUCUAUAGCACAAGGUCCCACCACCAGAAGCUCUGUAAUUAAAGCUGAUAUCCUGCACAGCCCAGAGUUUAAACUGAUAAGUGUGUGCUGUCAUAUUGUUAGGAAAAAAAACAGUGCAAAUCACUAUUGAAUUCCCACCAAACUGUGUAAAUACCAGUCACUUUUGCCCAUGGACAUUUCAGAAUUUUUAAUAUACAGUAACCUGUCAAUUUUCUAGGUGUCAGACACUCAAGCCUGCUUCACACGGGACGAUUUUUAAAUUGUCGGCCAAUUUUCCAAUCCUGAGAGACCCCACACACGGUGAUGAAAAAUUACGGGUCUAACAGUUUUGGUCGUACAGUGUGUGGUGCGCAGCACACGGCAAAAUCAACACAUCACACACGAACCGAUUUGACUCCCGAGCAUUCCCAGGUCAGACGGGAAAUCUCGCAAAAU